UAGUCCACGCCGUAAACGAUGAGUACUAGCUGUUGGGACCCUUGAGGUCUUAGUGGCGCAGCUAACGCAUUAAGUACUCCGCCUGGGGAUUACGGCCGCAAGGCUAAAACUCAAAGGAAUUGACGGGGGGCCCGCACAAGCGGUGGAGCAUGCGGUUUAAUUCGAUGCAACGCGAAAAACCUUACCUACUCUUGACAUCCUUGGAAGAAUCUAGAGAUAGAUUUGUGCCUUCGGGAACCAAGUGACAGGUGCUGCAUGGCUGUCGUCAGCUCGUGUCGUGAGAUGUUCGGUUAAGUCCCGCAACGAGCGCAACCCCUAUCGUUAGUUACCAUCAUUAAGUUGGGGACUCUAGCGAGACUGCCGGCGUAAGCCGCGAGGAAGGUGGGGAUGACGUCAAAUCAUCAUGGCCUUUAUGCCUAGGGGCUACACACGUGCUACAA
rnacentral:rRNA from 1 species